rnacentral:rRNA from 1 species
GGGGAAUAUUGGACAAUGGGCGAAAGCCUGAUCCAGCAAUGCCGCGUGAGUGAUGAAGGCCUUAGGGUUGUAAAGCUCUUUUACCAGGGAUGAUAAUGACAGUACCUGGAGAAUAAGCUCCGGCUAACUCCGUGCCAGCAGCCGCGGUAAUACGGAGGGAGCUAGCGUUGUUCGGAAUUACUGGGCGUAAAGCGCACGUAGGCGGCCAUUCAAGUCAGAGGUGAAAGCCCGGGGCUCAACCCCGGAACUGCCUUUGAAACUAGAUGGCUUGAAUCUUGGAGAGGCGAGUGGAAUUCCGAGUGUAGAGGUGAAAUUCGUAGAUAUUCGGAAGAACACCAGUGGCGAAGGCGACUCGCUGGACAAGUAUUGACGCUGAGGUGCGAAAGCGUGGGGAGCAAAC